AAGUCGUAACAAGGUUUCCGUAGGUGAACCUGCGGAAGGAUCAUUAACACGUAUCCAAACGUUAAACCCCCCUGUGAACCUUCAGUCGUACUCCUGGUAAAUCAUCGCCGAACAGUUUUCGAUUCAGGGACGUCUGCAAGGAGCGUGCAUGUUGUGCGUGUAAGUGGCCUGGUAUCCCCAAGCAGUUAGUGUCUGAAAGUGUCACUAACGUUAGUGUCUGAAAGUGUCACUAACAUGUGUAAGGAUGACGCAGUCACGAUCGUUGGAGGCCCACACGGCCGACGACCGGGUCACCGGGUGCAAGCCCCCUUAUCACACCCCUGCUCUAUCUAUGGUGAUCCUGCGGGAAGUCCUGCGGUCGAACGCCGAAACCGAACAACUGUUAACAAUGGAUAUCUUGGUUCUC
rnacentral:misc_RNA from 1 species